CGUUGGCCACUGCGCAGACCAGAUUUCCCUUGCUCGAAAGCCUCUCUCUGCUCCCUACGAGACCAUGUCUGACAAACCCAAUAUGGCUGAGAUCGAGAAAUUCGAUAAGUCGAAAUUGAAAAAGACAGAAACGCAAGAGAAAAACCCACUGCCUUCCAAAGAAACGAUCGAACAGGAGAAACAAGCAGGCGAAUCGUAAUGAGGUCAGCGCCGCCAGUAUGCACUGUACAUUCCACAAGCAUUGCCUUCUUAUUUUACUUCUUUUAACUGUUUAACUUUGUAAGAUGCAAAGAGGUUGGAUCAAGUUUAAAUGACUGUGCUACCCCUUUUAAUAUCAAAGAACUACUGACAACGAAGGCCGCGCCUGACUCUCCCAUUUGCCUGUCUGGCUGGCAGGGAAGGAAAAGAGCUUGCAUGUUGGUGAAGGAAGAAGAGGGGUGGGAUGACAGUGAAAUCUAGAGUCAAUCAAGCUGGCCCAAGGUAUCCUGCAGGCUGUAAAAUGCAGUUUAAUCAGAGUGCCAUUUUUUAAUUAUUGGAAUGUACAAUUUUUUUAAUAUGCA